rnacentral:rRNA from 1 species
GAUGAACGCUGGCGGCGUGCUUAACACAUGCAAGUCGAACGGUGAAGCGCCUUUCUUUUUGGUGGGUGUGGAUGAGCGGCGAACUGGUGAGUAACACGUGAGUAACCUACCCCCUUCUACUGGAUAACCGCAUGAAAGAGUGGCUAAUACGGGAUAUUCUGGGUCGGUCGCAUGAUGGGUGAGGGAAAGAUAUUGUUUCGGUGGGGGACGGGCUCGCGUCCUAGUAGCUUGUUGGUGGGGUGAGGGCAUACCAAGGCGAUGGCGGGUAGCCGGCGUGGGAGGGUAGCCGGUCUGAGAGGGUGUGCGGCCCCGCCGGGACUGCGACGGGAGGCAGAAGUGUGGAGUAGGGCACAGUGGGCGCAAGUCUGAUGCAGCGACGCGGCGUGUGCGAUGGAGGCCUGCGGGUUAUGACCCCCUUUCGCUAGUGAAGCAGGCCUGCCUGGUAUGUGGGUGGGUUGACGGUAGCUGGAGAAGAAGCGCCGGCUAACUACGUG